UACGGGGGGGCAAGCGUUGUUCGGAAUUACUGGGCGUAAAGGGCUCGUAGGCGGCCAACUAAGUCGGAUGUGAAAUCCCCAGGCUCAACCUGGGAACUGCAUCCGAUACUGGAUGGCUUGAAUUCGGGAGAGGGAUGCAGAAUUCCAGGUGUAGCGGUGAAAUGCGUAGAUAUCUGGAGGAAUACCGGUGGCGAAGGCGGCAUCCUGGACCGACAUUGACGCUGAUGAGCGAAAGCUAGGGGAGCAAACGGGG
rnacentral:rRNA from 1 species